rnacentral:lncRNA from 1 species
UUGCUCAUGUAUUAACGCUCUCACUUUACCUACCAAAGGAGAUUUGCUGGAAUUACUGAUUACGGAUUUCCGCAGUGCCAUGUGUAAACAGGGUAUUGUAC